GAUGAACGCUGGCUACAGGCCUAACACAUGCAAGUCGAGCGGACACGCCGGGGGCUCUUUCUUCUCCGGUUGUCGACCGGCGCACGGGUGACUAACGCGUAUCCAACCUAUCUCUCUCUGAUGACUAACCCGUCGAAAGUCGGCUUACUACCUCUUUGCAUCGUCUCCUGGCUUCCAACGACGAUACAAUUUUUCAUCGGCCUGUAGUUGGGAUGCGUCUGCUUAGCUUGUUGGCGAGGUAACGGCCAACCAAGGCGACGAUAAGUAAGGGUUCUGAGAGGAAGGUCCCCCACAAUGGAACUGAGACACGGUCCAAACUCGGACGGGAGGCAGCAGUGAGGAAGAGUAGGGAAUGGGCGAGAGCCGGAACCAGCCAAGUAGCGUGCAGGAGGACGGCGGUAUGGAAUGUAAACUGAUUUUAGGCGGGGAAAAAGUGAGGGACGUGUCCUUCAUUGCAGGUACCGCAUGAAUAAGGACCGGCUAAUUCCGUG
rnacentral:rRNA from 1 species